rnacentral:rRNA from 1 species
UGGGGAAUUUUGGACAAUGGGCGAAAGCCUGAUCCAGCAAUGCCGCGUGUGUGAAGAAGGCCUUCGGGUUGUAAAGCACUUUUGUCCGGAAAGAAAUCCUUGGCUCUAAUACAGUCGGGGGAUGACGGUACCGGAAGAAUAAGCACCGGCUAACUACGUGCCAGCAGCCGCGGUAAUACGUAGGGUGCAAGCGUUAAUCGGAAUUACUGGGCGUAAAGCGUGCGCAGGCGGUUUGCUAAGACCGAUGUGAAAUCCCCGGGCUCAACCUGGGAACUGCAUUGGUGACUGGCAGGCUAGAGUAUGGCAGAGGGGGGUAGAAUUCCACGUGUAGCAGUGAAAUGCGUAGAGAUGUGGAGGAAUACCGAUGGCGAAGGCAGCCCCCUGGGCCAAUACUGACGCUCAUGCACGAAAGCGUGGGGAGCAAACAGGAUUAGAUACCCUGGUAGUCCACGCCCUAAACGAUGUCACUAGUUGUUGGGGAUUCAUUUCCUUAGUAACGUAGCUAACGCGUGAAGUUGACCGCCUGGGGAGUACGGUCGCAAGAUUAAAA